UUAAAAGUAAAUAGGAGCGAGCCUCCAAAGCAUCAGGAAAUAUCCGGCGAUUUACAGAGCUGCAGUUUAAUUGCAAUCAGAGUUUUACCUCUAGUAUUACUUCAGGAAAAUCAAGUUCAACCUGGAUUGCAAGUUUUCAGGACGUCAUCCUGGACGGACAAGCAGAAUAUAGAUUCUUGCGUAUUUGUUAGGAGGCGUUAUCAUCUUUCAAUGGGGCGAGACACAAGGUCACCGUCUUCUGCUGCCUCAAAUAUUCUCAGCAAAGAGCUUCAAUUUACGAUUUAUUUUGUUCGGGUUCACCACUGUCAGAUUCUUUGGCACUGCGAACUAUCACACCCAAAACCAUGCAGGCUUGACUUUGCAAGAGAUUUAACAAUAUAUUUCACUAGAACGGUCCGGUCGCUUAUAGAGUGGCAAUAUCUGUUUUUCAGUGGUUAUGAUAGGAAAAUAAUGAUGACAGCGUUGUCGAACGUCCUUGAGCACCGUGUGACUAACAAUGACACGAGAUUGAACGAGAUCACAGUCAAAGGCGGCGUUAGAACGAGAAGCAAAUUUCUCACGCUACCUUUUCAGUGGACUAUCAUUCCUGUGCUUGUCACAAUUGUGAAAUUUUGUAAAUGAAUUGUCGGCUGAUGUGGAAGCAAUUGCCGUGAAAAAUGACACCGAGG